GUUUUACGUUUCUGCACCAUAAUCGUAUGGAAAUCCAAUAGUCUAUUGAUAGAAGAACGAAAAGUUCCAAGAGCAGAGCUUGGGAACUUUGAAGAAAAUUUGGACAAGAGUGAAAUUUGACUAGCUGACGACAGUAGCGGCAGUACAUGGUAAAGCUAUAACAUGGCUGGGCAGUCUGGAGGUAACCCCAUCAGGCCAGAGGCCCUCGGGGGGAUAGACACUAAUAACCUGUUUGGGAAUAAUCCUACGGACAUCUUUGGACAAGGUGGAGAAAGUGGACUGGCGGCAAUGCUUCAGAGGGGUGGAGGUAAGAUAUAGAGGGGUGGAGGUAAGAUAUAGAGGGGUGAAGAAGACUGACAGCAAUGCUUGAGAGGGGUGGAGGUAAGAUAUAGAGGGGU